CGGGGCUUAAUGUCUUGUAAUUGGAAUGAUGGGAAUUUAAACCUCUUCCAGAGUAUCAAUUGGAGGGCAAGUCUGGUGCCAGCAGCCGCGGUAAUUCCAGCUCCAAUAGCGUAUAUUAAAAUUGUUGCAGUUAAAAAGCUCGUAGUUGAAUUUCUGCUACAUUGCCUAUUCUCCUUUACGAGUUUGGGUCUUUUGUGGCUUAUCUGGGUUCGCUUGCGUCCCCGGUGUUUUACUUUGAGAAAAUUAGAGUGCUCAAAGCAGGCUUUUGCCUUGAAUAGUUUAGCAUGGAAUAAUAAAGUAGGACUUUGGUUCUAUUUUGUUGGUUUUAGGUACCAAAGUAAUGGUUAAUAGGAACAGUUGGGGGCAUUCGUAUUUAACUGUCAGAGGUGAAAUUCUUAGAUUUGUUAAAGACGAACUACUGCGAAAGCAUUUGCCAAGGAUGUUUUCAUUAAUCAAGAAC
rnacentral:rRNA from 1 species